rnacentral:rRNA from 1 species
AGUGAACGCUGGCGGUAGGCCUAGCACAUGCAAGUCGAACGGCAGCACAGGAGAGCUUGCUCUCUGGGUGGCGAGUGGCGGACGGGUGAGGAAUACAUCGGAAUCUACCUUUUCGUGGGGGAUAACGUAGGGAAACUUACGCUAAUACCGCAUACGACCUACGGGUGAAAGUGGGGGACCGCAAGGCCUCACGCGAUUAGAUGAGCCGAUGUCCGAUUAGCUAGUUGGCGGGGUAAUGGCCCACCAAGGCGACGAUCGGUAGCUGGUCUGAGAGGAUGAUCAGCCACACUGGAACUGAGACCCGGUCCAGACUCCUACGGGAGGCAGCAGUGGGGAAUAUUGGACAAUGGGCGCAAGCCUGAUCCAGCCAUACCGCGUGGGUGAAGAAGGCCUUCGGGUUGUAAAGCCCUUUUGUUGGGAAAGAAAUCCUGUCGAUUAAUACUCGGUGGGGAUGACGGUACCCAAAGAAUAAGCACCGGCUAACUUCGUGCCAGCCGCCGCCGUAA